rnacentral:rRNA from 1 species
GACGAACGCUGGCGGCGUGCCUAAUACAUGCAAGUCGAGCGCAGGAAGCCGUCUGAACCCUUCGGGGGGACGACGGUGGAAUGAGCGGCGGACGGGUGAGUAACACGUAAAGAACCUGCCCACGGGUCUGGGAUAACCACGAGAAGUCGGGGCUAAUACCGGACGGGUCAUCGGACCGCAUGGUCCGAGGAUGAAAGGCGCUCCGGCGUCGCCCGUGGAUGGCUUUGCGGUGCAUUAGCUAGUUGGUGGGGUAACGGCCCACCAAGGCGACGAUGCAUAGCCGACCUGAGAGGGUGAUCGGCCACACUGGGACCGAGACACGGCCCAGACUCCUACGGGAGGCAGCAGUAGGGAAUCUUCCACAAUGGACGAAAGUCUGAUGGAGCAACGCCGCGUGAACGAUGAAGGCCCUCGGGUCGUAAAGUUCUGUUGUAAGGGAAGAACAAGUGCCGCAGGCAAUGGCGGCACCUUGACGGUACCUUGCGAGAAAGCCACGGCUAAUUACGUGCCAGCAGCCGCCGUAA